AUGGCACCACCUGCUAAACCCAACUUUGCAUUGAAAUCAAUUCUGGAAAAGGAUAAACUAAAUGGAACAAACUUUACCACCUGGUAUAGAAAUCUGAGAAUUGUUCUCAAGCAUGAUAAAAAGGAACAUGUUCUAGAGGAUCCACUUCCAGAGGAACCUGCUGAUAAUGCUAAUGCCACAACUAAGAAUGCCUACCAGAAACUCGUUGAUGAAUCAAUGGAGAUCAGCUGUCUGAUGCUGGCUUGUAUGGAGCCCGAUUUGCAACAGCAUUUCGAAAGUGUUGAGGCUUACGAUACGAUCGAGAGUCUCAAGAGCAUGUUUUAG
rnacentral:rRNA from 1 species